UAACGCGUGGGUAACCUGCCUCACACACAUGGAUAACAUACCGAAAGGUAUGCUAAUACAAGAUGAUAUAAGAGAUUCGCAUGGAUUUCUUAUCAAAGCUCCGGCGGUAUGAGAUGGACCCGCGUCUGAUUAGCUGGUUGGUAAGGUGACGGCUUACCAAGGCGACGAUCAGUAGCCGACCUGAGAGGGUGAUCGGCCACAUUGGAACUGAGACACGGUCCAAACUCCUACGGGAGGCAGCAGUGGGGAAUAUUGCACAAUGGGCGAAAGCCUGAUGCAGCAACGCCGCGUGAGCGAUGAAGGCCUUCGGGUCGUAAAGCUCUGUCCUCAAGGAAGAUAAUGACGGUACUUGAGGAGGAAGCCCCGGCUAACUACGUGCCAGCAGCCGCGGUAAUACGUAGGGGGCUAGCGUUAUCCGGAUUUACUGGGCGUAAAGGGUGCGUAGGUGGUUUCUUAAGUCAGGAGUGAAAGGCUACGGCUCAACCGUAGUAAGCUCUUGAAACUGGGAAACUUGAGUGCAGGAGAGGAAAGUGGAAUUCCUAGUGUAGCGGUGAAAUGCGUAGAUAUUAGGAGGAACACCAGUAGCGAAGGCGGCUUUCUGGACUGUAACUGACACUGAGGCACGAAAGCGUGGGGAGCAAACAGAAUGAGAUACCCUGGUAGUCCACGCCGUAAACGAUGAGUGCUAGGUGUGGGGGGUUUCCCCCUUCGGUGCCGCAGCUUACGCUUUAAGUACUCCGCCUGGGGAGUACGCUCGCAAGAGUGAAACUCAAAGGAAUUGACGGGGACCCGCACAAGUUAGCGGAGCAUGUGGUUUAAUUAGAAGCAACGCGAAGAACCUUACCUAAGCUUGACAUCCUUUUGACCGAUGCCUAAUCGCAUCUUUCCCUUCGGGGACAGAAGUGACAGGUGGUGCAUGGUUGUCGUCAGCUCGUGUCGUGAGAUGUUGGGUCAAGUCCCGCAACGAGCGCAACCCUUGCCUUUAGUUGCCAGCAUUAAGUUGGGCACUCUAGAGGGACUGCCAGGGAUAACCUGGAGGAAGGUGGGGAUGACGUCAAAUCAUCAUGCCCACUUAUGCUUAGGGCUACACACGUGCUACAAUGGGUGGUACAGAGGG
rnacentral:rRNA from 1 species